AGAGUUUGAUUCUGGCUCAGGAUGAACGCUAGCUACAGGCUUAACACAUGCAAGUCGAGCGAUGAAGUCCCUUCGGGGACGGAUUAGCGGCGGACGGGUGAGUAACACGUGGGUAACCUGCCUCAUAGAGGGGAAUAGCCUUCCGAAAGGAAGAUUAAUACCGCAUAAGAUUGUAGUUUCGCAUGAAACAGCAAUUAAAGGAGUAAUCCGCUAUGAGAUGGACCCGCGUCGCAUUAGCUAGUUGGUGAGGUAACGGCUCACCAAGGCGACGAUGCGUAGCCGACCUGAGAGGGUGAUCGGCCACAUUGGGACUGAGACACGGCCCAGACUCCUACGGGAGGCAGCAGUGGGGAAUAUUGCACAAUGGGGGAAACCCUGAUGCAGCAAACCGCCGCGUGAGUGAUGACGGUCUUCGGAUUGUAAAGCUCUGUCUUCAGGGACGAUAAUGACGGUACCUGAGGAGGAAGCCACGGCUAACUACGUGCCAGCAGCCGC
rnacentral:rRNA from 1 species